rnacentral:misc_RNA from 1 species
UCAUGUUAGACUUGGGGG